AAUUAGCUAAACAAAGAAAUCAUGGCGGAUUGUUUACAUUUGGCAGCGCCCGGGCUGCGCCGACCGCCGGCCCCGAGCCGCCGCGGGCUCCGAGGAGUCGGCCGAGCUGCUCCCGCGCCCUGGCCGGACGUUUGAAACUAUUGCUUUGCUGAAAACAUCUGACUGCCAGGCUAGGAUGUGACACUUAAGGGACUUACCAAUUUGGGAUUCUUCCAGGAGCUGAAAACUGAUUACAAAUAUGAAACAGAUUUCACUACAGGACUUGAACCCUACAUUAAAAAACAACAAGCUCCCCAAAAUAAUUGAAAAAGAUCUUCACCAAAGAGUAGCUGCAAUGUGAAUGGCAGGAUAUGAAGCAAGUAAGAGAUGGUGAAAAGAUUAUCUUAAGCUUGGAAUUAAGUGAUGAAAGGGACCUUCGAAAUUAUCAACUCUAAAUACUUCUUUACAGGAAAAUUGAAAGCAGUUAAGAACCUGCCCCCUACCGUGGAGUUCUUGGUGCCGUGAGUUGGAGUUCUUGGUGCCUGGGUGCGUCCCCAAGG
rnacentral:lncRNA from 1 species